GGUUAUUCCGUUACGAACGAGACCUUAACCUGCUAACUAGUCUGCUUGUGAACAACAGGCUGUACUUCUUAGAGGGACUAUUGUGCAAGAAGCCAAUGGAAGUUUAAGGCAAUAACAGGUCUGUGAUGCCCCUAGACGUGCUCGGCCGCACGCGCGUUACAAUGACUGGCGCAGAAAGUAUUUCCUGUCCUGGGAAGGUACGGGUAAUCUUAUUAAUACCAGUCGUGUUAGGGAUAGUUCUUUGGAAUUGUGGAUCUUGAACGAGGAAUUUCUAGUAAGUGCAAGUCAUCAGCUUGCGUUGAUUAUGUCCCUGCCGUUUGUACACACCGCCCGUCGCUUGUAGUAACGAAUGGUCUGGUGAACCUUCUGGACUGCGGUAGAAAUACUGCGGAAAAAUAAGUAAACCCUACCAUUUGGAACAACAAGAAGUCGUAACAAGGUAUCUGUAGGUGAACCUGCAGAUGGAUCAUUA
rnacentral:rRNA from 1 species